AGAAACGUCAUGGGCUAUACCCCGUGAAACUGACGGUACCUGCGAAUAAGCACCGCUAACUACGUGCCAGCAGCCGCGGUAAUACGUAGGGUGCAAGCGUUAAUCGGAAUUACUGGGCGUAAAGCGUGCGCAGGCGGUUCGGAAAGAAAGAUGUGAAAUCCCAGAGCAACUUUGGAACGCAUUAACUACCGAGCAGAGUGUGUCAGAGGGAGGUGGAAUUCCGCGUGUAGCAGUGAAAUGCGUAGAUAUGCGGAGGAACACCGAUGGCGAAGGCAGCCCUGGGAUAACACUGACGCUCAUGCACGAGAGCGGGGGAGCAAACAGGAUUAGAUACCCUGGUAGCCACGCCCUAAACGAUGCAACUAGCUGUUGGGGCCUCGGGCCUGGUAGCGCAGCUAACGCGUGAAGUUGACCGCCGGGGAGUACGGUCGCAAGAUUAAAACUCAAAGGAAUUGACGGGGACCCGCACAAGCGGGGAUGAUGUGGAUAAUCGAUGCAACGCGAAAAACCUUACCUACCCUUGACAUGUCUGGAAUGCCGAAGAGAUUUGGUAGUGCUCGCAAGAGAACCGGAACACAGGUGCUGCAUGGCUGUCGUCAGCUCGUGUCGUGAGAUGUUGGGUUAAGUCCCGCAACGAGCGCAACCCUGUCAUAGUUGCUACGAAAGGGCACUCAUGAGACUGCCGGUGACAAACCGGAGGAAGGUGGGGAUGACGUCAAGUCCUCAUGGCCCUUAUGGGUAGGGCUUCACACGUCAUACAAUGGUCGGGACAGAGGGCGCCAACCCGCGAGGGGGAGCCAAUCCCAGAAACCGAUCGUAGUCCGGAUCGCAGUCUGCAACUCGACUGCGUGAAGUCGGAAUCGCUAGUAAUCGCGGAUCAGCAUGUCGCGGUGAAUACGUCCCGGGUCUUGUACACACCGCCCGUCACACCAGGGAGUUUGUUGCACCAGAAGCAGGUAGCUAACCUUCGGGAGGGCGCUGCCACGGUGUGGCCGAUGACUGGGG
rnacentral:rRNA from 1 species